rnacentral:sRNA from 1 species
UUGUACGUCUUCAGGCGGUGGGGGAAGAGAAGUGGGGCCGCCUGAAGGGAGGGGCGGACUGGGUGGGCCAAGGAUGAGCUUCAGGGGAACUCACAUGAGUCUGGGGACAGUGCGGCGAGUCUCCUUACGUGAGCACCCCAAAGGAUCGUAUGCGCGCAGAUCCCGAAUCGUGAUUCUAGCUGAACCGGGGGGACUACAUUUCUCCUAUGCAAACAACUAUCCUUAUGAUGAGUGGUGAUCCUAUUUGACAGAGCCCAAAAUUCAUUGCAGAAUCAUCUGUCUCCUGGGAACAUAUCAUCUACCUAGAUAAGAGCAUGUUUCACCAUAUGUCAAAAAAAUUAUCUUUGAAAUAUAUGGAGAGAAUUCAGGAGCAAAACCAUAGAGGAUAUGACAAAACUCUUGCGCCCAAAACAAGAAAGAUGUUAACAUCUGAAGACCAGGAAAUUUGCUGUGAGUUUGUGACUAAAAGAACUGGAAGUUGAAGAUGUAGAACUCAGCUCCUCCUGCACCAGGCC